rnacentral:rRNA from 1 species
CGUAGGGACCAAGCGUUGUUCGGAUUUACUGGGCGUAAAGGGCGCGUAGGCGGCAUGACAAGUCACUUGUGAAAUCUCCGGGCUUAACUCGGAACGGCCAAGUGAUACUGUCGCGCUAGAGUGCAGAAAGGGGCAAUCGGAAUUCUUGGUGUAGCGGUGAAAUGCGUAGAUAUCAAGAGGAACACCUGAGGCGAAGCGGGUUGCUAGGCUGACACUGACGCUGAGGCGCGAAAGCCAGGGGAGCAAACGGGAUUAGAUACCCCGGUAGUCCUGGCCCUAAACGAUGAAUACUUGGUGUCUGGAGUUAUUAAUGCUCCGGGUGCCGUCGCUAACGUUUUAAGUAUUCCGCCUGGGGAGUACGCUCGCAAGAGUG